AGUGAACGCUGGCGGUAGGCCUAACACAUGCAAGUCGAACGGCAGCACAGGAGAGCUUGCUCUCUAGGUGGCGAGUGGCGGACGGGUGAGGAAUACAUCGGAAUCUGCCCAGUCGUGGGGGAUAACGUAGGGAAACUUACGCUAAUACCGCAUACGACCUUCGGGUGAAAGAGGGGGAUCGCAAGACCUCUCGCGAUUGGAUGAGCCGAUGUCGGAUUAGCUAGUUAGCGGGGUACUGGCCCACCAAGGCGACGAUCCGUAGCUGGUCUGAGAGGCUGAUCAGCCACACUGGAACUGAGACACGGUCCAGACUCCUACGGGAGGCAGCAGUGGGGAAUAUUGGACAAUGGGCGCAAGCCUGAUCCAGCCAUACCGCGUGGGUGAAGAAGGCCUUCGGGUUGUAAAGCCCUUUUGUUGGGAAAGAAAUCUUUCAGGCUAAUACCCUGGGAGGAUGACGGUACCCAAAGAAUAAGCACCGGCUAACUUCGUG
rnacentral:rRNA from 1 species